rnacentral:rRNA from 1 species
AUUGAACGCUGGCGGCAGGCCUAACACAUGCAAGUCGAGCGAGUGGCGGACGGGUGAGUAAUGUAUCGGAACGUGCCCGGUGGCGGGGGAUAACUAAUGGAAACAGUUGCUAAUACCGCAUACUAUCGGAUAGGCCGAUAUAGGAGUAGCUUGUUGGUGGGGUAAAGGCUCACCAAGGCGACGAUCCGUAGCUGGUCUGAGAGGAGGAACAGCCACACUGGGACUGAGACACGGUCCAGACUCCUACGGGAGGCAGCAGUGGGGAAUAUUGGACAAUGGGCGAAAGCCUGAUCCAGCCAUGCCGCGUGUAUGAAGAAGGUCUUCGGGUUGUAAAGUACUUUUGGCAGAGAAGCGGUAUCUGCAGAAUAAGCACCGGCUAACUACGUGCCAGCAGCCGCGGUAAUAC